rnacentral:rRNA from 1 species
ACGGAGGGUGCGAGCGUUGUCCGGAAUCACUGGGCGUAAAGGGCGCGUAGGCGGCCUGAUAAGUCGGGGGUGAAAUCCUGUGGCUCAACCACAGAAUUGCCUUCGAUACUGCAUGGCUUGAGACCGGAAGAGGUUAGUGGAACUGCGAGUGUAGAGGUGAAAUUCGUAGAUAUUCGCAAGAACACCAGUGGCGAAGGCGGCUGACUGGUCCGGUUCUGACGCUGAGGCGCGAAAGCGUGGGGAGCAAACAGGA